rnacentral:tRNA from 1 species
GGCACUAUAGCUCAGUGGUUAGAACGCUGGUCUAGUAAACCAGGGGUCGUGAGUUCAAUCCUCACUGGUGGCU